rnacentral:rRNA from 1 species
CCUACGGGUGGCUGCAGUGAGGAAUAUUGGUCAAUGGACGAGAGUCUGAACCAGCCAAGUAGCGUGAAGGAUGACUGCCCUAUGGGUUGUAAACUUCUUUUAUAUAGGAAUAAAAUGAUGCACGUGUGCCUUUUUGUAUGUACUUUAUGAAUAAGGAUCGGCUAACUCCGUGCCAGCAGCCGCGGUAAUACGGAGGAUCCGAGCGUUAUCCGGAUUUAUUGGGUUUAAAGGGAGCGUAGAUGGGUUGUUAAGUCAGUUGUGAAAGUUUGCGGCUCAACCGUAAAAUUGCAAUUGAUACUGGCAGUCUUGAGUACAGUAGAGGUAGGCGGAAUUCGUGGUGUAGCGGUGAAAUGCUUAGAUAUCACGAAGAACCCCGAUUGCGAAGGCAGCUUACUAAACUGUGACUGACAUUGAUGCUCGAAAGUGUGGGUAUCAAACAGGAUUAGAUACCCGAGUAGUC